CAGUAGCUUCUUGUUGCUUAAGCACCUCUAUGUUUUGCUUAAGCACAACAGUAGAAUAUUUUUGGUAGUGUUUAGAAAACUGGCUAAGUAAGAGCUGAGAAAGAGAGGGAGGAGAGUCCUCUGCUUCCCAGGCCUUAUCUCUGCUGGAGGGUGUGGCUGUGUUUUAUAUAUUUUAAACAACCUAGCUACAGCUGUGAAACUGGUGAUAGAAAUGCUUAUCAAAGCGACUUGGAAAUGCUUGCAAUUUGUGCAAGUUUCCCCCAGAAGAGGAGGGGGAGGAAGAAAUUCCAUGGUAAUCCAUGUUAUAGAAAAUGCUCAAAUAUGCAAUAACUUUCCUUGAAGACCGCCUGCUUUGGAUCCCACGUGAAAAUACCAUUAAGCCUUCGGAGAAUGUGUUUGGGGAUGGCAAUCGAUUUGGGACCAGUUUACGGCUGUUGCAGAGUUCUGAAAGGCCUGUUGCACCCCCCUGCCCCUUACUGAGAAAGCAAGGCUGAGGGAAAUUCCAUCUGUGUCAUUCCUUCUUUAUUAAAUAAAAUACAAAUAGGAAGCACUUGA